GUAGAUAUAGUUUAACAAAAACAUUAGAUUGUGAAUCUAAUAAUAGAAGACUUUAAACCUUCUUAUUUACC
rnacentral:tRNA from 1 species